ACGCUGGCGGCAGGCCUAAAACAUGCAAGUCGAACGAACCUUCGGGUUAGUGGCGCACGGGUGCGUAACACGUGGGAAUAUGCCCUUCAGUACGGAAUAACUCACCGAAAGGUGUGCUAAUACCGUAUAAUGACUCCGGUCCAAAGAUUUAUCGCUGAAGGAUUAGCCCGCGUCUGAUUAGGUAGUUGGUGAGGUAAGAGCUCACCAAGCCGACGAUCAGUAGCUGGUUUGAGAGGAUGAUCAGCCACACUGGGACUGAGACACGGCCCAGACUCCUACGGGAGGCAGCAGUUAGGAAUAUUGCGCAAUGGAGGAAACUCUGACGCAGCCAUGCCGCGUGAGUGACGACGGCCUUAGGGUUGUAAAGCUCUUUCAGGUGUGAAGAUAAUGACGGUAACACCAGAAGAAGCCCCGGCUAAAUUCGUGCCAGCAGCCGCGGUAAUACGAAUGGGGCAAGCGUUGUUCGGAAUCACUGGGCGUAAAGCGUAUGUAGGCGGCUUUUCAAGUCAGAAGUGAAAGCCUGGGGCUCAACCCCAGAAUUGCUUUUGAAACUGGAUCGCUAGAGUCCCGGAGAGGUUGGCGGAAUUCCGAGUGUAGAGGUGAAAUUCGCAGAUAUUCGGAGGAACACCAGUGGCGUAGGCGGCCAACUGGACGGGUACUGACGCUGAGAUACGAAAGCAUGGGGAGCAAACAGGAUUAGAUACCCUGGUAGUCCAUGCCGUAAACGAUGUAUGCUAGUUGUCGGGAUCUUAAGAUUUCGGUGACGGAGUUAACGCAUUAAGCAUACCGCCUGGGGAGUACGGCC
rnacentral:rRNA from 1 species